rnacentral:rRNA from 1 species
UACGAAGGGGGCUAGCGUUGUUCGGAUUUACUGGGCGUAAAGCGCACGUAGGCGGAUCGAUCAGUCAGGGGUGAAAUCCCAGAGCUCAACUCUGGAACUGCCUUUGAUACUGUCGAUCUGGAGUAUGGAAGAGGUGAGUGGAAUUCCGAGUGUAGAGGUGAAAUUCGUAGAUAUUCGGAAGAACACCAGUGGCGAAAGCGGCUCACUGGCCCGGUACUGACGCCGAGGUGCGAAAGCGUGGGGAGCAAACAGG